rnacentral:sRNA from 1 species
UGUUUCUGUUUCUGUUUU